rnacentral:rRNA from 1 species
UCUCUCUGAAUCUGCGAACGGCUCCGCAAACCAGUUGUAAACUGUAGCAAGCACGUCUCUGGUAACGCCCGCAAAGCGCACCAGGACGACAAGGACAACCCUGGUAAUUCUGAGGCUAAUACAAGAACGUACUCCCUGGCCGACCGGCAGCGGAAGGCUGGGGACUGUGUGAACCCAGAUGCAGACAUUUUUGUUAGGAAUACGUGCACGGCCCGACCACCACACCAAACAGACUGGCGGAAACCCCUCCUGUAAGGGGGGGGGCGGAUGCCUUGCCUGGGUGGCUCUUGCUGUGUGCUUCUGACCUAUCAACUCGAUCGCAGGGUAACGUCCAUGCAAUGGUCACAACGGGUACAGAGGAUAAGGGUUCGAUCCUGGAGAGUGGGCCUGAGAGAUU